AGUGAACGCUGGCGGCAGGCCUAAUACAUGCAAGUCGAACGGCAGCACAGCAGAGCUUGCUCUGUGGGUGGCGAGUGGCGGACGGGUGAGGAAUACAUGGGAAUCUGCCCAGUCGUGGGGGAUAACGUAGGGAAACUUACGCUAAUACCGCAUGCGCCCUUCGGGGGAAAGCCGGGGACCUUCGGGCCUGGCGCGAUUGGAUGAGCCCAUGUCGGAUUAGCUAGUUGGCGGGGUAAUGGCCCACCAAGGCGACGAUCCGUAGCUGGUCUGAGAGGAUGAUCAGCCACACUGGAACUGAGACACGGUCCAGACUCCUACGGGAGGCAGCAGUAGGGAAUAUUGGACAAUGGGCGCAAGCCUGAUCCAGCCAUGCCGCGUGAGUGAAGAAGGCCCUCGGGUUGUAAAGCUCUUUGUCCGGAAAGAAAAGCGCCGGGUUAAUACCCUGGUGUCCUGACGGUACCGGAAGAAUAAGCACCGGCUAACUUCGUGCCAGCAGCCGCGGUAA
rnacentral:rRNA from 1 species